UGGGCGGGGACGGGGAGGGGCUGGGGGAUUAGUGGGGGCAUACAAGGAGGUGAGUGGGGGUCUCUGGGAGGCCAGUGGGCGGGUCUGCGGGUCCCUGGGUGGUCCCUAGGAGGGUCUGGGGGUCCCUGGGAGGGUCUGGGGGUCCCUGUGCCCUCCCCCCGCAGGCUCUGGGUCUCCCGGGGGGCUGGAGGCCUGCGGGGGGGAGGUCUCCUCCUUCCUGGAGCUGCUGGGGCUGUGCUGGAGACCAUCGAGCGCUUCGGAGGGGCGGGGCAGGGGCAGGCCCCGCCCACGCCAGAGGAUGCACCAAUCAGCUGCUGACCCUCCCCGUCCUAACCAGUUCCCCCCCCCCAAUAAAGCACCAAACUCCGCCA